rnacentral:rRNA from 1 species
GAUGAACGCUGGCGGCGUGCCUAAUACAUGCAAGUCGAGCGAACGGACGAGAAGCUUGCUUCUCUGAUGUUAGCGGCGGACGGGUGAGUAACACGUGGAUAACCUACCUAUAAGACUGGGAUAACUUCGGGAAACCGGAGCUAAUACCGGAUAAUAUUUUGAACCGCAUGGUUCAAAAGUAAAAGACGGUCUUGCUGUCACUUAUAGAUGGAUCCGCGCUGCAUUAGCUAGUUGGUAAGGUAACGGCUUACCAAGGCAACGAUGCAUAGCCGACCUGAGAGGGGGGGCGGACACAAGGGAACAAAGACACGGGACAGAAGACAACGGGAGGCAGAAGUAGGGAAUCUUCCGCAAUGGGCGAAAGACUGACGGAGCAAAGCAGCGUGAGUGAAGAAGGUCUUCGGAUAGUAAAAAUCUGUUAUUAGAGAAGAACAUAUGUGUAAGGAACUGUGCAAAUCUUGCCGGUACCUAAUCAGAAAGACACGGCUAACUACGUG